CAACUGAACUCCUUUAAAGUUUGCUAUGCAGAAUUGACGAACUGCCUCAAAUUGUAAUUCAGAAUCAAACAGGCAGAGCCUUAGUGGGGCCUCUGGGAGACUGCAGGAAGCUGAUGUUGGGCAGUUUUGUCAAUGAAAGGCACUGGUGAGAUACUGGAAGAUGGAAGGAUUAUACUGGAAACCUUCCUGCCUCUGGUUUCUGGUAGCAUCUUUGGCAGCAGUGACAGCAACACAGCUGAGAUGACAGCAUUGGUGGUGGUGACAGCAUUGGCUCUAGAGACAAUGGUAACAAUGGAUCUGGGUGGUGUCUGCAGGGACAGGAGCAACAACUUCGAAGUGCAGGCUCCUGGGUUCCUGCUCAGCCAACUGGGCACCAACCGCCAACAAGAGCCUUAGGGACACUGUGCCCUGAGCUUUCGGAAGAUUAGCCCUGAGCUAACUACUGCCAAUCCUCCUCUUUUU